rnacentral:rRNA from 1 species
AACGAACGCUGGCGGCAUGCCUAACACAUGCAAGUCGAACGAGAUCUUCGGGUCUAGUGGCGCACGGGUGCGUAACGCGUGGGAAUCUGCCCUUUGGUUCGGAAUAACAGUUGGAAACGACUGCUAAUACCGGAUGAUGACGAAAGUCCAAAGAUUUAUCGCCAGAGGAUGAGCCCGCGUAGGAUUAGCUAGUUGGUGUGGUAAAGGCGCACCAAGGCGACGAUCCUUAGCUGGUCUGAGAGGAUGAUCAGCCACACUGGGACUGAGACACGGACCAGACUCCUACGGGAGGCAGCAUUGCGGAAUAUUGGACAAGGGGCGAAAGCCUGCUCCAGCAAUGUCGCGUGAGUGAUGAAGGCCUUAGGGUUGUAAAGCUCUUUUACCCGGGAUGAUAAUUACAGUACCGGGAGAAUAAGCUCCGGCUAACUCCGGGCCAGCCGCCGCCAUAA